CAAAGUUGGAAGUGGAGCUAGAAGGUGGGGUCGUAUCGUUCGGUAAAAUCUUACUUCGACGGACGGAAAAGCGGAACGUCAUCGUCAGGAAUAAAUCCACCAUACCGCUCUACUGGAGGUUGGACUUAAUCGAGGGAGUCGUCGAUGGUCAGGUGACGCUAUACCCUGAACGGGGCGUCGUCGAACCCCUCGGUAUCCGGCGCAUCGAAUGUCGAUAUCAUGCCAGUUUGGUAGGUGUCAAGGAAAAGAAGGUCCUUAGAUUCCAAGUAUUUCUCGACGCUGACGACGGGGAACCAUUGCUCACAGAUCUAAUAACCGUUUCUGGAGAGACCUACGACGUAAAGGUGGAUGUCACCAAUGCCAGCCCCAUUGAUUUCAAGAUCGUUAGCGUGGGGACCACCGCAGUCGAGACUGUUUCCAUAACGAAUCGAGGACCGUGCGACGUCGAAUUUAUCGUCCGUCCCAACAAUCCUGUGAGCUUGGCCGGACUGAAAUUGAGUUUACCACCCAGUACCCUGAGUACGGACUUUGAAUUAGAGCCGACGAAGGGAUCCUUGUCGCCCGGAGCAUCUUCUUCUAUAGUGGUCAAGUUUACACCGCGUGGCGAAUUCACGGUGUUCGAAGCCCCCUUGCUGCUGUGUCAUUUGGUCGACGUUGAACAAAAGACCCCCACCUCAGUUGCGGAAUUUCCACUUCUCGUAUCGGUCAGCGCUCACUACUCAAAAUUCAAAAUCUGCCCCAGCUCGUUUCUCAACUUUGGAUCUAUGGCAC
rnacentral:misc_RNA from 1 species